rnacentral:rRNA from 1 species
ACGUGAAAAGGGGGAACCCCUGCUCCGCCCUCCCGCUGCUGUAUGAUGAAGGCCUCCGGGCCGUAAAGUACUCUUUGGCAGAGAAGAAAAGGUAUCCCCUAAUACGGGAUACUGCUGACGGUAUCUGCAGAAUAAGCACCGGCUAACUACGUGCCAGCAGCCGCGGUAAUACGUAGGGUGCAAGCGUUAAUCGGAAUUACUGGGCGUAAAGCGUGUGUAGGCGGCUCGGAAAGAAAGAUGUGAAAUCCCAGGGCUCAACCUUGGAACUGCAUUUUUAACUGCCGAGCUAGAGUAUGUCAGAGGGGGGUAGAAUUCCACGUGUAGCAGUGGGGGUGCGGGAGAUAUGUGGAGGAAUACCGAUGGCGAAGGCAGCCCCCUGGGAUAAUACUGACGCUCAGACACGAAAG